AUGUUUGUGCGCGUGUGUGUGCGUGUGUGUAUAUAUAUAUAUAUAUAUAUACACACACACACACACACACACACACAUAUAUAUACAUAGUAUAU
rnacentral:miRNA from 11 species